UUCUGCCCUUCCUUUUUUAAUUCUCCUUUUUAAUUUUCUCUCGGAUCUUUUUGCCUCCAUUGCUGCUUAAGACAAAUGGACGCCGCAAUUGGCGCAACGAGAGUCUAGUCUGCUAAUUCACGCCUGACGAAAAAUGAAGCUUAAAAUAUGUUCACAUUUUAGAGAAUGUAAUUAAUAUUUUCCUCAUUAAUGAUGUAUUAUUUCACCCACCCGCAACCCAUCCGCUAUUAAUCAGAAUGUUAAUUUUUAUGACUCGGCCCACCCGAUCCGCAGAUUAACCGUGGUGCCCGCGGAUAUAACUGCGAUCCGCACAUCACUAAUACACACAUGCCUUAUUUUUUCCCCACCGCAUUCAGCGAAGAAGAAUAUCAGGGUCAGAGCCAAUCAGAGGCAGAGUAGGGGCGGGUCUUCGCAGAAUGCGGGUGGGGAAAAAAUAACGCUACACACACACAGACAGACCUGCUAAAUGUCAGGUGCACCGGUGCGACCAAUGAAAAUGUUUAGUCGCACUUGACAGAUUUUUGGUCGCAUGUUCAACCAAAAUGGUCGCACUCUGGAGCCUUGAUUUAUACUCACUACUAUCCCAGCAUCCUGUUGGCUUUUUUACUGCAACAGCACAGUGCCUAGAACCUGAAAGGUUUUGAUCAACUAUUACUCCCAAAAUUGAGCACAUUCCAAUAUCGUUCCUCCCAUAAAGUAAUCUAGCCUUGUGUUAUUAUUUCCCACAUGUAGAACUUUACAUUGAGCUGUAUUGAGUUUCAUUUGCCAGGUUUCCACCGACUUCUGGAUUCACUUCUGUCACAUAUUGCAGUCUUCAUCCAUCCCCAUUAUUCACUACCUGCUCUGCACUCUAAUGAAAUCCAUACUUACACUAGAGCUACCGCGGUUACUGCAUUACCGCGGAAACGCAAUCACGUGUUGACGACAGGGAAACUUAAUGCUACAGGGCAUAGGUGGCUUGCUGCCCUAGCCACAUACGAUUUUGAAGUAAAAUAUCGCCCUGAGAAGGUCAAUGUUGAGGCUGAUUUGCUUUCCCGAAACUGGACACUGAGACGUGGAGAAACCUUUCACAGGGUGAUGUGAAGGCGAUUUGUGGUCGUGUGCAUGUGCAGGAGUCUAGUGACAGUGAUGUGCACUUGGCAGACAAACUAGGUGUUCCAGCAGAAGGUGUUCCUGAGCUGUAUGCUUUUGCAACUCAUCUCAAUUUGGGUCAGCUAGAACAGUUCACCCGAGAAGACUUGCGAGAAGCGCAGCUAGAGGACAGUGUUCUCAGAGUAGUUAGAGAGGCUUUGAACACAGGUCAGUGGCCGGCAAACUAGAGCUGCCGCGGUUACUGCAUUACCGUGGUAACGCAAUCACGUCACGUCCACCGCAGAGUCAAGCUGAUCACCGCUUCACCGCUGGGUUUUGUUUUUUCCCGUUUAUUUUAGGCCAAUUGUUUAUGUUCCAAUUUUACUUGUAAAAGUUGUGAUCUGAAAUAAAUGCAAUGCAAUUUUUAAAAUAAUUAUAAUUAUUAUUGUGUAGCCUAUUUUCUUCACUCCAUGUGUUUGAAAGUUUUCACUCACAGUUGCGCAGUUAACAUUCUGAUCGGAGAAAGUGUCACCCAGAACGUGCUUUGAAACUGUUGGCUACAGAAAGUUUUCGCUUCAAAUUAGGCUAAAAACAUGGAUCUUGUAGCGAAACCCAACGUUACUUCUCCUGUUUGGGAACAUUUUGGCUUUGAGCCCGAUGAAGAUGGAAAGCCAAAGAAUUUGGAUGAGGCAGUGUGCCGCAUUUGCAGCAAGAAAAUCAACGUCAUGCGAGGAAACAGGACAAAUCUAGCAUCGCAUCUUAGGACCACUCACCGUCCGUUAUACGAUGCAAUGAAAGGCACCCCAUCUACCUCGGGAGGUACCGGCUCGGCACUACGUCAGUUAGGAGUCUCAGAGGCAUUUGCCAGAGUGACUAAAUACAACCGGGACAGCAACAAGUGGCGAGCACUUACAACAACUGUAACAAAGUAUUUGGUUGUGGAGAUGGUGCCCUUCCGGACUGUAGGAAAGCCAUCAUUCCGAGCUAUGCUUCAGUCCUUCGACAAACAGUAUGAACUGCUGGGCAGAACCUAUUUUCGGAAACAGCCAUUCCAGAAAUGUACUUGAAAAAAACGAAAUCGUAGCCGGAGGUUUAAAUUAUUAUUUUUUAAUGGCGGUUACCGCAACGGUUUGAAUGGCUUCGCUAAUUUUUGCGGUAAGGAAAAAAUCCCACCUGUCCAUAGCCACGCUCCCAAACACCAUCUAAAAGCACCCUCCCCUAGGCCUGGAAGCUAGGCCUCUUAUAGAGCCCAUGGUUAGGUAAUGGGCCACAGCUGCACCAAUACCUCCCUGGUGGACAGCACCCCAAUUCCCUUCCUGGCAUCACAUGUUAAACAGGCAAGAGCUUUGAGGAUAUGCUGUGGGGCACUCAGAACAACACCAAUUAAUGCAUUACUAAUGAGAUGGGAGAAAUACCACUGAGGCAUAGAUGGAUAAAACUUGCUUUGCAUAACUGGAUUAAGUUUAAAUGAUCUAGUGUAGAUCACCCUGCUAAGAAUCCUGUUGAGAUCUCAUGGGAAGUGGACAUGCAAGGGAUUCAUUGUUAAUUAAUUGUGCUGCAACAUGAAGAACAGACAAACCAACUAAUAAUAAAUAACUCUCCAGUGCUUCCUCAGGCAGUAUGUGAGAAGGGCAUCCAAUUGAUCUGGCGUAAUCUGAAUUAUGGAGUGAAACAUUCAGGCGAAGAGCCACUUCCUCCAAAUGGCUGAACACUACAGGGUCAAUCUCUGUGAUGCAGCUACCUGGAACAAACUGUCAAAGCAUCCACACAAAAGAGCACAUAAUGAUGACUAGCAUUUUCAGCUAGGUCAGCCAGGCUCAAGCCUCUGGCUAUCUCUUGCCUGUAUAGGAAACAACAGUUUUCCUAUUUGGCUCAAUUCUGAAAAUAUAACUAGAACUAGAUUAAUCAUUUUUAAUACAAACCAUUCACACCUACAUCCUAAUUAUGAUUUAAUACCAUAAUGGAAUUUCUGGGACGUGCCAUUCAGAAACUGACAUGGCGAGCUAACCUAAGUUUUAAUACCUUUAAAGGUUCACACAAAGUAAGGUAACUCAAUACAGUUUGAUGUUUUAGGAUACAAACACUGUUUCUAAUCUAUCUAUUGAUUACAUUUAAAUGUUUUUCAUAGCCUAUUGCCAACUGGUGAAAACUUAUCACGAUACUGUACAUUUGUAGUGUAGUCAGGUUAUCCACUAGGUGGAGCCCUAGGCUUUUCGAAACAGGAUAUACCAACCAAUGUAAGACGUCAGUGAGGUAGUGAGGUAGCUUGUUCAGGAGAUUGAGUGCAGCCGUACUGUAUGUAUGCCACAGUUCUUUAAGCUCCAAAGUAAAGUUUAUCAUAAACUCUUCUAUGUGGUCCUGUUCUUUUCCCUUCUGAAGUUAUCCCAGCAUUAUUCUGCAGUUCCCGUUGAAUGUCUUCCCUUUUCAGUCCUGUUAUGUUCCCUUGCUCUGUGACUGAUUGCUCUAUCAAAAAUAUGCAAUCUGUUAGUCACGAAAAGACUGUUUACGAUUACAUACAUUUGGAUCUUUGAUAUGCACACACAUUACAGCACCCAAAAAAUACUUAUGGUAAAACAAUGUGCUUACAUAUCACCAAAACAAACUUUUAUUUGGCAAUAUCUCCCAAAAUGUUUAUCAAAAUCCCUCACCUUUCGUUGGAGAGAAAGCAAGGGUCAUUCUGAGUGUUUAUCCUGAAAUACGUCACUCAAGCUGCACCACCUAACCAAAAAAAUAAAAUCUGUGUUACGUUUUGCCCUGCUCUGCCCUACUAACGUAAAUGUGGUAAAAAGCAACCGGUGUUGAAGCAAGGCAUGUACAGUGAAUCUACGUACUCUGGUAUCGAUCAACCAAUUGAAAUAGUGACACUAUGACAUAUUUUCAUUGACAGCCCCCUCAUUAACAUAUGGAUGAAAAAAUACAGAAAUAAAUACAGAAAUAUAUAUAUAUACAGGCAUAAAUUAAUCAAAACAUAAAUAAGGAAAUAAAUAUAUACAGAAAUAAAUGAAUCAAGCAAUAAAUAAA